UGAGUAAGACAGAUGGUCGCGGCUGCAGAACCGAAAGGCUGCAGGUGAGGAAAGUCCGGGCUUCACAGGGCAGGAUGCCAGAUAACGUCUGGUGGAGGCGACUCCAAGGAUAGUGCAACAGAAAUGUACCGCCCGGUUUACCGGGUAAGGGUGGAAGGGCAGUGUAAGAGACUACCGCCCGGCUGGUAACAGCCGGGGCACAUGUAAACCCCAUCCGAAGCAAGACCGAACAGAGAGCGCAAGGCGGCCCGUCUGCUCUCGGGUAGGUCGCUUGAGCCUGCUGGCGACAGCAGGACUAGAUAGAUGACCAUUCAACGACAUAACCCGGCUUACCGUUUUGCUCAAAUC
rnacentral:RNase_P_RNA from 2 species